rnacentral:lncRNA from 10 species
CAGCCCACCUCCAGGUGAUCCACUUCUUUCCCCGCUCCUCUUUUUUUCCCAUGGUUUCUGACACUUGGCCCCACCCAUCAUUUUCCAUUUAGUUGCGGGCAGUCUUCUUAUCUUCAAAAUGUUUUUCUUCACUUGCAGAGGGAAGCCUACUCCUGAAUCAAGUCGUUGGUUUUCUGUGUGUGGAGGGAACCUCUGCCAGGAGCCCAGCUGCUUUCGGACCCUUGCCACCCAGUCUCAGCUUGCAUUUCCGAGUUUCCACUACGGGAAUAGAUUCCUUGGAAGGAGCCUUGCUUCUUUUGGGCGACUUUCAGUGUCUGCCUCUGUGACCUGGAGCUGGUCACCAUUAAGAAAGGAAGAGAGUUAUCAGUGGGAAGUGUUCAUUCUGUUCUCUGCAACAACUCCAGAGCGGCACCAUGUGAUAAGCCAGAUGGGGACUAUGUACAUAUGCCCACAAUAA